AUUGAACGCUGGCGGCAUGCUUUACACAUGCAAGUCGAACGGUAACAGGCCGCAAGGUGCUGACGAGUGGCGAACGGGUGCGUAAUGCAUCGGAACGUGCCCAGUCGUUGGGGAUAACUACUCGAAAGAGUAGCUAAUACCUCAUACGAUCUAUGGUUGAAAGCGGGGGACCGCAAGGCCUCGCGCGAUUUUAGCGGCCGAUGUCAGAUUAGGUAGUUGGUGGGGUAAAGGCUCACCAAGCCAACGAUCUGUAGCUGGUCUGAGAGGACGACCCGCCACACUGGGACUGAGACACGGCCCAGACUCCUACGGGAGGCAGCAGUGGGGAAUUUUGGGCAAUGGGCGAAAGCCUGAUCCAGCAAUGCCGCGUGCAGGAAGAAGGCCUUCGGGUUGUAAACUGCUUUUGUAAGGAACGAAAAGGCGCUGGUUAAUACCCGGGGCUAAUGACGGUACCGUAAGAAUAAGCACCGGCUAACUACGUG
rnacentral:rRNA from 1 species